GUAGGGUGGUGCCACACACCCUUGGGAGGAAGAGACGUUCAGGUGGUGUCAUGGGGAGAACCUGCAGAGAAAGAGAGAGAGAGAGAGAGACAGUGAGCGGGGCGGGGCACGCGGCGGAAGACAGACCUCCCGCCCUGGGAGAGAGCACCCCCCGACCCCCGAGAGAGAGAUCGACAGAGAAGGGGACAAGAUGCAGUCAGAGAAACCCCAAGGCCUGUUCCUCCAAUUGAAUCCCAAUGCAUCCUCCACUGAGACUCAACUCCUGGUGCCAGCUCUAGAGAGCAGAGAUACACUUCCACCUACCCACUGUUUCAUGGCAGGCACUGAGUCACCCCUUGGGAAUCCCUGGCCCCUGUCCCUGCCCCCACCAUGCUGGACAGGAUGCCUGCUGCCUGCCCCAAGGGGUCAGAGGAAGCCAGGGCCUCUAGGGCUCAGUAUUUUUAUCAGCCUAGGAAACAAGAGACACAGAAGCGGAAACCAUGUGGUCAGAGAAAGUGAACAGCCCUUAUCUCAGGGGAACCCCCACCAGGGCUGGGGGCCAGACACCAGGAAGGGACGUUGAAAAGACUGUGGUCCGGUGGGCCCAGGUUUCAGGGCUUAUUUUGCUUUGGUUUUAUGUAACUCUUGCAGAAGGGGAAAUGAUGUGCUUAAAAACCAGUGAGAAAUCUCCUGGGUGGAGGAGCAAAUUUGGUCACCAGAGUUUUCUGUAAUUUACUUCUCAACCUCCAGCUUAGGGAUCCUAACCCCAACUCCCCCCAAGGCCAAACCUGGACUCUUUGCAUGCCACUUCCGAAAAGCUCCAGCCUGUGAGAGGAACCGGACGCCAGGGUCACACACAGCUUGAAGUCUCUUCUCUGAAUCACAGCAGCUUCCUCUCACAGGAUCUUUCUCACCAGCCCUUCCCCCUCCUGCACCCUGAACAUCUGCCUGGUCCUUCAGAGGCCUUGGUCUCUUCCGAACUUCAGGCUGUCUUAUUCAAGGAUCUCAUGCCCACCCAUGUUCCCGUGUUCCCAGAGGCGUGCCCUCCCUGUCUUCUACUGCCUUCCACUUCCACUCCUGGGAUUCUCCUGUAGAGAACUGGGCUCAAAACCUGAAAGAUAAGUUUCUGAUUGAUAAGAUGCUCUGGUGUAACUAUGCAGACAGUGCACUCACCAGCACAUGUCUGUACUCUCCUUGCAGCCCUGUCCUUUCUUUUUGCCAAGUUCCCAGUUGUGUCCUGGGCGAUGGUAGUGGGGUCUACCUAUCUUAGUUUCCAGGGAGCCCCCCUCUCUCCUCCGUGGGAAUCCCAGACUCUCCCUCCACCUCUCAGGACUUCAACUACUGGUUCUUGGAAAAGGAAAUGUUUAUAGGGAAGGCCAUGCCUGGGCUGCCCAGAGAUGAACUCAGGUUUAGGAUGGGGCAGCAGCUGAAUGGCGGAGAUGAGGAUUGGGGCCCUGGAGGAAGAGAGAUACAACUGACAAGCUAGAGGGCAGAGAUGGAUGGAGCCAGCAGCCUGGCUGGCUUUGGGUGUGGAGCUCCAGUUGCCCAAGAACAGACAACCCAUGUUACAUAAUUUUGCUCUUUCCACCUCCUUCCCCUGCUCCUAAUUUUAGCAACUGAAAUUCCACUCCCCCACAGGGCUCUUCCUCCAGCCAUUCUGCUUGUAUUCCCCAUCCUCCCCCAGCCUCCUCAUGGCCCCCCAGCGCCGGCUACCCCCAACUCGCUCAUUCAGUGACUCAGCAAAGGGAAAGCCCUGUGUUGGGGGAAGGGGGUGUUAAGUGGGGAGGAGGAUGUGGUUCAGCUUGGGGAGCCAGGGAGGGGAGGGAAACUGGUUUUGUUCCCCUUUUUGCCUCUGUUCGCAUCUAUUUCUCCAGCCACAGAUUGCAGGGUGGACAAGACCCCAGUGUAGGGAGUGGAGUGAGACUGGAUGGCAAACUGGGCCUUCUUAGGGCUGAACUGAGGGGGCAUGCAGAGGCUUCUUGCCUCCAGCUCAGAGCCCGUGUUAGCGUGUGCGUGUGUGUUGCAGGUGUGUGGGAGCUGUGGGUUUCAGCAGGCGGGGCGGGAAAGGAGAUGUCAUGGGUGAUGAAAACCACAGCAAUGGAAAAAGACAGAGGAGACACUGGGAGUGAGAUGUGGAACCAGGUCUUAUUAGGAAACGGCAGAGUCAAGGAGCAGUGGUGGCGGCCCGCACCCCCCACCCC
rnacentral:lncRNA from 1 species